GACGAACGCUGGCGGCGUGCCUAAUACAUGCAAGUCGAGCGAUGAAGCUUGGUGCUUGCACCAAUUUGAAGAGCAGCGAACGGGUGAGUAACGCGUGGGUAAUCUGCCUUUGAGCGGGGGACAACAUUUGGAAACGAAUGCUAAUACCGCAUAACAACUUUAAACAUAAGUUUUAAGUUUGAAAGAUGCAAUUGCAUCACUCAAAGAUGAUCCCGCGUUGUAUUAGCUAGUUGGUGAGGUAAAGGCCCACCAAGGCGAUGAUACAUAGCCGACCUGAGGAGGGUGAUCGCCAAAAUUGGAAUGGGGACACGGCCAAGAUCCUUAGGGGAGGCAGAAGUGGGGAAUUUUGGCAAUGGGCGGAAAUCUUGCCGAAGAAAGGCGGGGGGGGGGAGGAAGGUUUCGGGACGGUAAACUCCGUUGAUUGGGGAGGAAGGUGGGGAGAGUGAAAAGCUCAUGUAUUGACGGUAACUACACAGAAAGGGACGGCUAACUACGUG
rnacentral:rRNA from 1 species